UACGAAGGUGGCAAGCGUUGUUCGGAUUUACUGGGCGUAAAGGGAGCGUAGGUGGUGCGGUAAGCCCUCCGGGAAAGCUUCAGGCUUAACCUGAAAAGGUCGGGGGGGACUGCCGCGCUAGAGGACGGGAGAGGAGCGCGGAAUUCCCGGUGUAGCGGUGAAAUGCGUAGAGAUCGGGAGGAAGGCCGGUGGCGAAGGCGGGUCUCUGGGCCGAUACUGACGCUGAGGAGCGAAAGCGUGGGGAGCGAACAGG
rnacentral:rRNA from 1 species